rnacentral:rRNA from 1 species
GACAGAGGGGGCAAGCGUUGCUCGGAAUUACUGGGCGUAAAGGGCGCGUAGGCGGGAUGGCAAGUCGGUCGUGAAAUCCCUCGGCUCAACCGAGGAACGUCGAUCGAUACUGCUGUUCUUGAGGAUUGCAGAGGAGACUGGAAUUCCCGGUGUAGCGGUGAAAUGUGUAGAGAUCGGGAGGAACACCGGUGGCGAAGGCGGGUCUCUGGGCA